rnacentral:lncRNA from 1 species
AGAAAGAGAUGAGAUGCUGGUGAGAGAGAACGAGGCAGGAAAAGGAGAGAAGGAAUACUAAAUAUAUUUUUCCAUUUAUGUGAUGAAUGUGUUCACAGUACACAAACCAUAGUGUGUGUGGUAGUAAAGAGGAGCAGCACUAGAGGCAUUUUCCAUAGACUGAAGGCAAGAAGGUGGAGGAGGGGUGCUUUUAAGUAAAGACAGCUAAGGUGAAUCCUGAACCGCCAGAAGUAGACAACCAAGUGAAAGAAGGGGAAAGCGUUCCAGACAGAGGUGGGGGAGAAUCUGCAAAGGCACUGAGACCCAAGAAGUCACUGGUUCCUCGGGAGUACAUGUGUUCAAUAAGACUGAAAUCUAUGGUAUAUGGUGAAGGAACUGGGAAAAAACGUGGCCCUGGAGAUAUAAAGAGGAUGGGCCCUAAAUCCAAUGACCAGUGCCCCUACGAGGAGAGGGAGAUUUGAAGACACAAAAGAAACAGGGAAGAAAGCCAAGGAACACCAAGGAUUGUCAUCAACCACAGAAGCUAGAAGAACCAAGGAAGGAUUCUUCCCUAUAGCCUUCAGAGGGAGCAUGGCCCUGCUGACACCUUGAUUUUGACUUCUAGCCUCCUGAAGUAUCUGCUCAGAGCCUUUAAUAUGAUAAUAUAUGUCAAAUGUCUCCAAGAGGGAAUUAUAGAAUGUGGCAUUUUCAAAAAUUAUAUAACCUUGGAAAUUCUGUUCAGGUAUACAUAUUAAUAUCUCCCAAAAGUAAUGCUUCUUGAAAAAAUGCUUCGAGAAAUGCUAGAUUAGAACCAAAUUAAAUUUUCUAUCGCAUUGUUUUUUUAAAGGAUAUGAUCUAUUGAUUGA